AGUAAAAAUUUGUUUAAUCAUAUGGAUGCUGCUUUUUUUUAAUCUUAACUGACCACUAGCCGAAUAAUACCACCGAGGAAUAACAGUCAACUAGUAAAUGUGUUGUCUCGAUGAUGGUAAAUUAAGUAACACCAUUAAUCUAAUUUCACAAAAAGAUUUUUUUGAAUAAGGCUAAUGAACAAACAUUUGUCAGUACAAUAACAUCAUCUUUCUAUGGUUAAAUAUCAACAUGUUAUUUAGUAUUCUAUACAUAACCGCUUCAACAUGUAAGUUACGUAAAUUUCAAACCUUUUGACUUUUCAACAUGUAUUCUUAAUUCUUUUCAUUUUGUAUAAAAUUUGUAUCUUCCAUUAUAUGUCACGACAAUUCAUAAUUUUAAUAAGUAAAGGAAAUGAUCAAACGUUUUAUUGCUUACGAUAAAUGACCGACAUAUUUGGAAACCUCCGGUUACAGCUAAGUGUCCCAAAAUAUUUAUCAUCUUUAGUAUAAAACGUGUUGCGCCUUUUCACUUGUAAUUAUAAUUAACAAUGACUUCACAAGGAAUCUUCGUAUUUCUUGUCUGUGUGUAUAUCGGUUUAUCAUACAGUUUAAGGAUUGAUCGAUGCAACAUAGGAAUUAAGCGCCGACGAGUACAAAGAGUUGUUCUGCCAUCCAAUUGCACAGAAGGUACGCUAUAUUGGAACUAUCCAGAACGGACUUUGAAAGUGGUUGUUCCAGAAGAAAAUGGGAAGUUCACAUUUUGCGUGGGAUAUGUUCAUGAUCCAUUUGUAAAAAGGGCACGGAUAACUACCCGUUUAGGAUCUAGGAAAAUCAAUCUUCCUAGUAAGAAAGACCAGUCAGAAUGUUUUGACUACGAUGGAGGUUUGUCCCUUACAUUUUUUGGACCAAGACGUAUGAAGACAUACAUGGCCUUUAUUCCAUAUACAAAGUCCAAAGUAGAAAACAGGGACAAAUACAAAGACUUCAUUAAAAAUCUGAGAUGAAAGCCUGAUUUUUUCGUGACACUUACCAGAAUACUUUUUUUGUGCUAGAUCAAAAGUAUUAAUUCUUUGAAAACCGUACUGUAUGGAAACUUGUAAAUAGAUUAAUCUUCGAAGAGAUCAGAUUUUUUCAAUACAUAACAUAAUGUUGAUUUAUUAGUAUAUGAACUAAAAUAUUUGUAUUGUUAUUCAAAUUUGAGACUGAGAAAUUACAAAUGUACUAAAUUAUAAUCAUAUAUAAAACAAAUUGAAAUGAAAAUCAGUG